CCAUGCCGCGUGAGUGAUGAAGGCCCUAGGGUUGUAAGCUCUUUCAACGGUGAAGAUAAUGACGGUAACCGUAGAAGAAGCCCCGGCUAACUUCGUGCCAGCAGCCGCGGUAAU
rnacentral:rRNA from 1 species